GCCACGGUGGUCUAGCGGUCAGAACACUAGACUUGUAAGCCUGGGGUCCCGGGUUCAAUUCCCGGUGGUGCUC
rnacentral:tRNA from 1 species